UCUCAUUUUGGAAUUAGCCUGCCUGACUGGGUCUGUGCACUGUAGAGUAAUGUGCAGACUGGGAGAGAAGCAGUGUUUGUAUGUGGAAAGGGUUUGGUACUAGUCGAAAUAACUGCUCUUUUUUACAGUGACUGACAAGCAAUUUGGUGAGAGGCAUUUUAAACAGCAGGCACUUAAGAACUCCUUCAGUUGUUAGAGGUAGCCAAUAUACAGCAGAAAUGUGAUCUGUGCACAUAGUCAUGUGAGAGGGGUGAUAUGCACAUUCAUAAACCCACAGAGAAUUAUCUGGCAGCAUUGCAUCCACAGUCACAGUUGCUCUACAGUUAGUCUGCUCCAGCUGUGAAGAGCCAGAGGUCCUUUGGACUCCCAAAUAAUAUUUCAAAUGCACACUGCAGUGAAGCAGACACAGAGAGAAUUCCUCUUGUUCCAUAAACUUAUGUGAUACAUGCUUGCUUACAGAGUUCAUGCAUACACACAGUCCUUUAAAGAAAAAAUUUGCAUCAACGCUGACACAGGUUCUUAGUGCACACAGCAUUAUCAAGGCAGUUUUAAAUGGAGGAACGUAAAGACUCUGAAAAAUGGAUUUGUACUGAAGCAUCUUAAUCAGAACCUUUGGAGGGAAGGUUGUAAAUAAAGCUCAUAUUUCAUUUCAGCAAGAAAUCUAUCAUCCCUAUCAUGUCAUUGAAUUAUAACAGCAUGGAGUGACUUAUCUACACACGAACACUUCACGCUGAAGCACGUUAGUAGCAAAGGAAGAGACAAAGCCACAAGCAGCCUCUAAUAAAGUAGCAAGUGCUAAGUAUGAAGAGGUGUUUCUAUUUCAUGCAUUGGUUUUCAUUUAUGUACAUUUUAUAUAUAUUUUAAACCUUUCUGUACCUUUAUAAAUAAAGCCACUAGAAGCAUUGCCAGUGGGAUGUCUUCUGAAAAGCAGCAAGCCUUGCAGACUUCUCAUAGCUCUCUGUACAAGCUCCUGAAUACUAACAUAGGCUAAGAAGAUAACAUGGUCAUUCAAUGCACCUCAGCUGAUAGCAGCUCAUCAACCCACAAUCACUUGUCUGUGGGUCUAGUCCACAUACUGCGUCU